GUCAACUAAAUUUGGGAUUCUAAUUUUAGCCCUGGAUGAGAAAAGUGGAAAGGUGACUAAGAAUUAACUGUCAGACCACAUAGAAAUUCACACCUUAGACCGGAUCGAGUGUGUGUCCCCUUCCCCUCUGUGGUGGGCCCCACGUGCAUCCAAGGCCCCUGGAGUUUGAGGCCGAAAUGCACGUGUCUGGGCCCUGGUCCAGACCUAUAGAAUUAGAAUCCUAGUGGGGUGGAGGUUAGGGGAGUAACAAGCCUCCCGGCUGCUAGCCCCGCACACCGAAGCUCAGGACCCCCCUCUUCUUGCCAGUGACAAGACCGACGGGCAGCAGGUUGGCCAAGGACCCUUUGCCAGAGGGAAAAUGCAGAGGAGGAAGAAAUCAUCGUCUCCAUAUUUUAAAUAUAUUAAUUUUUCUGCCCCGCACAUUGUCUCAGAAGAGCUCCAAAGUGGAUAACAAAGUCCCUGCUAUGGAGAAGGGAUCCCGCCCAAGAGAUCUUCUGGGGGUCUUGGCCAGGGCACUUGGGCUGCAAACACCAGUCACUGGCCAUGACCCUCUAAGGCAGUGGUAAGGCCGUGGUGGACAAAGGGACGGUGGUCACCAGUUGGGAACAGUGCGGAGAGCCAGGCUUUGGAGCCCCCACACCUGGCAGGGCCAGGGAUCUCAGUGACAGGAACCCCACCCAGUCCCUGGCGUGUCCAUUCUGGGGAAGGGCUGACUCCUGCCCUUUUCAGACUUCAGAUUGCCCCAUAUGCCAUCCCAGCUCCAGGGAAGGAAGCCUGAUAACUCAGGUUACCUGCCCACCCAGCACUAACGGAGGAGGAACAGCUCCCCCAGCAGUGCCCCCGAGACUGUAGUGAAGAGGAGGAGUAAUUCCCCAAACAAAACUAUAUGAAGAAGAGAAAAGGACGGUCAGAAGACCCAAACAACGAUGUUCACCACCAUGGGCCAAUUUUUUUGUUUUAUAGAUGAGGAGACUGGAGGUCAGAGUGGUUCAGUGACUUUCCAAGUCAAUUAAUGAUGGAGCCAAAAUUCCCAGUCUGAUCCAGAUUCUAAGCUGAGCUCUCCCUGCAACAGGGCUCAGUCUCCUCUGAGUAUGUUUGACCCAGGCUUAGAUCCCUCUCCCUCCAACCAGCAAGCAAUAAUUAGCCACUCGAUUGUGAUUUCUGGUUGGGCUGGCAGGGCAGUCAUUUUAACUCGGGGUGUCUUUGGCUCCGUUGAGAGCGGACUCUUGACAGACCUAUUGGGCACCUCUUCUUCUAUGUGUCCCGAAAGUCUGGUCUUCCCUGAGGCUGGGGCUCAGAUGGGCUCAGAUGGGGCUCUGUUUGCAGGCCGAGCAGCCACCCGGAGCUUGGCAGGCACUGCCCAGCAGAGAAUGCUGCUGACACGAGACAGCCCGCAGGCUGAGGGCUGAGCAUCAAUGACAAGAGGCUGAGUUCGUGCCCCGUGGACACUGUCCUCUGCUAUCCAGACACCUGGGGCCACCCCAAGGAAGCAAAGUGAGCACUUCCUGGGCACCAGCCCUUGCCAGGCUGUGUUCUGGUUACAUCUUGUAGCCCUUACAUCCACCCGACAGUGUGCGAUCAUUAAGGACUGGUUACUAGGUCACCAGCGGGUGACCUUGGACACUUCACAUCCGUGGGCUCCGGCUUUGUCACUGGAAAAUGAGCGUCAUUGAGAUAGUGGACAGAGUGCCUUGCACAGUGCCAGGCACACAGCCAACACUCGGUGACAGAACAGUGGGAGUGUAACCAUGGUGGCGGUUGUUAUUCUCACUAAAGGAUGAGAAGCACCUGAACCACGGGACAGUGAAAGCCUGGCCACUCUGGCUUCAUAGCAGGAGAAACUGAGGCUCAGAGAGCUGAAGUACCUGCACAGGGACACACAGCCCAUACACCAGGAGCUAGCUGACCCAAAGCAUCUCUGAGUCUGAAGCGUAUGUUCUUUCAACUGCACCACACUGCCUCUCAGAGGUUCUGGUCUACAUCCCAGCUCUGCCACUUGCUCCCCUGGCCUGAGUCUCAUGGCCACUCCCCCACCCUGCCGUGUCUCCAGGCCCCGAUGGGUCACACUUCACACUGCCACCUUGGAUUAGCUUGAUUCAGCAGGAUUUUCAAUCAGCUUGAGAAUUCCAGGUCUUGGGAACUGGUGGGUACCCACUAGACCCAGACUAUCCUUGGAAAGCCUGAGAGCAGAGGGUACAAGCAACCCAGGAGGGAGGGGCCCCCCGAGUGCCUGGGGAAGACCUCCCAGUUACAGGAGACCCAAGUGCCAUGGACUUCAACUGCCCUUCUUUCGAAGCUGCCUCUGAUGGGUUGAUGGGUUACGAUGUCAUUUUACCUAAAGCUAGGCUGGUAAUACCAAUGUCCAUCCGAUUCUCCAAUCCCUGAUUGGAAAGCCAAAAAUGUACUGUCAACACCAGCAAGAGGACAGUAGGAAUAAAACACAGCUUGUUAAGCUCAGACUCUCAGAUUUGAAGAUAAACACUUAUGUCAUCUCAACACGGAUUUUUUUUAUGACAGAGCUUGGCGAUCAGCCACGAGACCCAACAGCCACGUGCACAUUGGAAUUAUCGUGGCUCCCUGUAUGGCUUCUGAAAGAGGAAUUAGAAGCUCAGAUUCCUUGAGGACUCUUAUUUCACACCACUUUAUAACUGUGAGAAACCCAUGGAAUUUUUCAAAAACUCUUUUGGGAAACAGUUUUAGAUUUAUGGAAGAGUUGUGAAGAUAGUGCAGAGGGUUUCUAUAAAUUCUUCCCCCGUUAUCCCUGAGUGUUAAAACCUUACGUUUGGUACGUUCAUCAAAACUAGGGAAUCAUCACUGGUACAGCGCUAUUAACUAAGCCACGAAGUUUAUUCCAACUUCCCCAGCUUUUCCACAAAUAUCUUUUCUCAAUCCCAGGAUCCCACACUGCACUUAAGUCUCCCUGUCUCCACAGUCACCUUAAUCCGAGGCAGAUUUUGGUCUUUCCUCAUUUUUCACGACCUUGACACCUCUGACGAGGGAGCAGUCAGGUGUCCCGUAGAAAGUCCCUCACUUUGGAUGUGUCGGACAUUUUCUUGUGUGUAGACUGAGGUUAUGGAUUUUGGAGAAAAUACCACAGAGGUGAAGUAUCCUCCUCGGUACAUCCUAUCGGGGGGUACAGGAUACCUAAAGGGGUACAGGAUAUCAGAUGACACAUGAACAAAUAGCUGGGGGAGAAUAACGUACUCAAGCAGUAUUCCAAGAGGUGUUUUCAGGCAUAGGGACAUGACAGUCCAUAAAAGAGCCCAUGUGGCUGAAAAACACUACCUGAAAUCUCUCGCUUCCCAAGAGCUCCAUUGGACUUCAUGCCAACAGAUAGUGCUGCCUGAGGACAGGCCUUUCCUGUGGCUCCUCCCACCUCCGGAUGCCCCUGGAAAAUGCAGGAAACAGUGCCAAGUGGGACUCAAGUACCCCAUCCAGCUAAGGCCUCACCCUAUUAUCACCAGAGGAGAGCCACAGACUGGCCUUGAGCACUGGCCCUAGAGAACUCGUGUGUGUGUGUGUGUGUGUGUGUGUGUGUGUGUGUGUGUGUGUGUGUGUGUGUGUGUGUAGUUCCUGGCUUCACUAGUAGCUUUUGAGGCUGCUUCAUGAGGAAAAUCUCUUCCAGGGGACACUCAGGGCAUUUUUCUCCCCAGAGCACACCUCAUGAUUUUCUUCUGCUCUGCUUCUCUCUCCCCACUAGCCCUUCUCAACCAGGGUUUCUGAGAGAAUUAACCCCUUAUGUCCUAAAGGCACCCAGUAUAUGGAACUUCUCUCUGUGCAUCUAUCUAGAAGCCAUGUACCAGCCUUGGGAAAAGUGAAAAAAACAAAACAAAACUGUUCAAACCAUUUUCUCUAGGGCUUCUGUCAUGGAACCUCAGUGGAGAAGGUUCUCUCCUAAGGUUAUUAUAGACAUGGUUGAACAGCUUCGGCUAGGGAGGUAUGAUUAGUGGGUCUUAAGAAUUACACUGGGACAGAGCUUACCUCCACCAGAGGCUGUCAGGAUGAUCAGGUGGUAGAGACAAAAGCAUCCUGGCAGAUGAAGGCUCAAAUCUGCUGCUGCUAUGUAACUUUGGACGAGUUUUUAAAUCUCUGACAUCUUGACUAUCUCAUAAUUGUUAUCUAUUGCUCUGUAACAAAUUACUCCAAAAUGUAGUGGCUCAAAACACCAUGUAUAUAUUACCUCAUAGUUUCCUUGGAGCAGGAAUCUGGGCACAGCUUGGCUAAGUUCUUUGGCUCACCAUCUCUCACAAGGCUAUGAUCAAGGUGUCGGCCAGGGCAGAAAUCCUCGUUGUGUUCAAGUGGGGCAAGAUCCACUUCUAAGUUCGCUCAGCAGCUGUUGGUAGAAUUCAGUGCCUCAUGGGCUGGUACUGAAGGUCUCAGUUCCUUGCUGGCUGUUGGCCCCAUGCUACACUCAGUUCCUUGCCAGGUGGGCCUUUACAUUCAAGUAAGCAAGUAAGAAGAGCCAGAGUACACACCGGUAAGGGGGAUGUCAGUCUUCUGUAAUCUAAUUACAGAAGUGACACCCAUCACUUUUGCUGUAUUCAUGAGAAGAGUCAUUAGGUCCAGCUCACUCUCAAGGGUGAAUGAAUACCAGGAGGCGGGGAUCACCGAGGACCAGGCUAGAAGCUGCCUACACUUCAGUAGAGUAGCACUAAUUGCCUUGCUCAAAUGCUCUUAAAAUUUGCAUACAGCACCUGCCACACAGGCAGACGGCCAGUAAACAGCAGCCACUACCAUAAAGUAGGUGCUUAGUUCACAUCUAUUUCCUUUCCCUCUCUUAUGCUAUUUGAGCCAUCUUUUUUCAUUGACAGAGGAUGUGUUUACCAAGCACUAGCUCAACAACAUGGUCUUAUUUUGUUAUAGGUGAAACUAGUCAUACCCAAGAGAGAAAUUUUCCCAGCCAGGGACUUGGGUUUUCUUGGGCCUGUGUUCACGUAGCUCAAGCUCUUCCCAGCUUUGGGUUCUUUACAGUUCCCUGGCUAUUCCAGUCAGGGGUGUGCCUAUAUCCUUGUUGUUUAUGGAUUCUAGACCUGGACUACCAUGACUUUCAAACAAGAGUACAUCAGUUCAUUCUGAAUGAGAAUUGGUAAGAGUUGGUUUUUGUGUACAUGUGUGGAAAACAAAGCUGAUGUAGAAUCAGAGGGGUUGUUUUUGGCAUCUCCCUGAGGCUCCUAACUAGCAGUAGUCAUUCCCCCGUGCGGUAGAUUCAAGCAAACCGAUAGUUGCCAACAGCCAUUUUCUCUUCCGUCUUCCUAACAGAGACAUGGCUCAGUUCUAGCACAUCCUCCUCUUGAGGCCAGUGGGAAGGUGAACCCAACCGAAGCCCCAAGAGGUGAGACUUAUUUAAGUCUGCCAAGGUGGUCCCAAUCUCUUUCCCGGUUAUUAGUUUGGGCAUGUUUAUGUACCCCAACUUCCCUAGUGAAAAGUGAGAGGAACCAUGCAGGUGGGCUCAUGAGCAAGUUUCUUUGCUCUUAAAAAAAAAAAAAAAAGGCUGGGAAACAAGGUCUUCUUCUCAAGUGGUUGGCCUCAUGUCUGGCAACUGUGCGAGCCAAAACCCUGCAGGAAGCAAUUCCAGAACGAAGCUCACAUAUGGAGGCUGGCAGAGCAGAAAGCCGGAAGGAACCUGGGUCCUUGAUGACAUCCAUGAGCUGCCACAUUUACUGAUCCUGGAACUGCCCAAUCUUGCAAUUUCUGUGAGGUAAUUCACCUCCCUUAAUAUUUAAGCUAGUGGCCUCUGAAGUAAACAAGAUGAUCCACAGAGGUGCAGGAAGAAAUCAGGAGCCAAUUAUGUUUUUAAAAGUAAAGAAGAGGGGCGUCUGGGUGGCUCAGUCGCUUGAGCGUCCAAUUUCGGCUCAGGUCAUGAUCUCGCAGUUCGUGGGUUCGAGCCUCGAGUUGGGCUCUGUGCUGACAGCUUGGAGCCUGGAGCCUGCUUCCGAUUCUGUGUCUCCCUCUCUCUCUGCCCCUCCCCUGCUUGUGCUCUGUCUCCUCUCUCAAAAAUAAAUAAACAUUUUUUAAAAAUAAAAAAAAAAAAAGAGUAAAGAAGCUUUGCCCAAACUUCAUUAACACAGUGUCUAUGUAAGUGGCCAGGUAGCACGCAGAAAACGUGAGGUACGUGCUUCAAGAAGCAGUUUGAGCUCCACAAAGUGCAGCCAUUGACAAUGGCGCCAUCUUGCAGAAUACUUAUUUUGUAUGUCCCCACCGAGCGAGUGGUCUCAUGGAUGUUAUCUGACAUAAGGGCACCCUUGCAAUACUUUAUUAUGGACCAGUGCCUGUCUGUAAUAUGGAAUGUGGAAGGUAUUAAAAAAAAACAACCACUUUAUCUGAUCCUUCAAGGUAAAGAUGACAUUCUAACAUUAAGUAGCUAUUUUUUCCAAAAGAAUUCAUGUUAAAAGCACUUUCAAAAUGGUCAGAUAUACUUCAACUUUACCAAAAUGUGUUACCAAAAACUGUCACCUAUAAACUCUCAUAAGUGCACACUGAAAGCUUGGGAUAUGAAAUCCAAACAGGAGUUUCAGUAGGUUUUGAGCCCGUUUUUUUUUUUUUUUUUUUUUUAAAUAUAUACCAACAAUAAAAAUGCCACACUUGCAAUUGAGCAAGAACAAGUUACUGACAGUGAGAAAGAUGGAAAUUUAUUAUAAAGAUUUCAACAAACACUUUUUAAGACUAGUAGAUGGAAUUGAAAAUGAGCAUUGUUUUUCAGUAAGCAGUCAUUUGGAUACUCCGAUCUUAAUCAAGUGGCUUUUUCAGCUACAAUAGCCAUUAAAACCCAGCAUUAAAAUAAACUUACCUUAAAACCAGAAAUUAUUUUUUAUCACAAAAUGUUAAAAUUAGAAGUUUGAAAAAUGAAGCAUUUUUUAAUCAUAUAGCUCUAAAAGAAAAAAAAUUUUUAGAAAGAGCAAAAGGUAUUUUUUUACAAUACACACAAAAGAUAUUUUAAAACAUUUUCACUUUUUCUAUUUCUUUUCUUUUUUUUUUUUGCCUAUGUGUCUUAGUAUAGUACAUAAACAUUAAUUUAAAAAUAUACAGGUCUAUAUACACAUGCUGGGGGUGGUGUUCUACGUGCACACAGGUGACUGGUUUGGACAGCAAUGUUUCAUGCUAUUGCUUACAUCCUUAGAAGAAACUUCUCCAAUCCUCCCAAAUACUAACUAUAUUGUCUUCAAGUUUUUGUAACUUACCCUUUUAAAAUUUUUAGUCCAAAUGGAAUUUCUUUUGGUGAAUGGUAUGAUGGGAAUAAAUUUAAUUUUCUCUACUUAAACCAGCACCUUUUACUGAAUAAUCCAUCAUGGUCAGAAUUAUUUUAAGAAGCCACCUUUAGAGUACUCUAAAUUCUUAAAAGCAUUGGAGUCUAUUUUUUAAACUCUUUUCCAUUGACUUUGUCUAUUUUUAUAUGAGUGUAAAAAUUUAAUUGCACUUAAAAACAAUUUUUUUGGUAGAGCAAGUUCCCUUUUUUCUCCCCUUUCAAUGAAGAUCCUAUUAUCAUCUGUUUAUACUUCCAUGUGAAUUUUUAAUUUGUAUUAAAAAUAAAUACUCUUUGGCAUUUGGAUUGGCUUUGCACCGAAUAUACAUGUUAACUCAAGAACUGAUCUAUUUACAACGGUCAAAACGCCCCUCUAUCAACCUCUAUCAAGGGUUUAUCAGCCUGUGUUCCUCUCUGCUUUCCUUCCACCCCACCCCCAAGAAACUAUGAUCUUAGAUGUUAAUCUGUGUUUUCUUUAGUUUUACUACUCAUGAAUCCCUACCCUAAACAAUGUACUAAGUUUUUCCAGUUUCUGAACUUUAUAGCCAAAUUAUUCAUCUUUCAAUGGUUUGCACUUCCUCUUUUGUUUACAAAAUCCUGCCCUUCCCCAAAGUCGUAAAAAUAUCCUUUUCUUUUUUUAAGUUUAUUUAUUUUUGAGAGAGAAAAAGAGAGACCAAGCUGGGGAGGGGCAAAAGACAGGGAGAGAGAGAAUCCAAAACAGGCUCUGCAAUGUCAGCGCAGAUCCCAAGGUGGGGCUCGAACUCACAAACUGGGAGAUCAUGACUGAGCCGAAACCAAGAGUUGGAUGUUUAACUGAAUGAGCCACCCAGGUGCCCCAUAACAAUAUCCUUCUGUAUUUAUUGUCUUCUAAAAGUUUCAUAGUUUUAACUUUCUUAAGUGAAUCUUGAAUACGCCUGGGAUUGCUUUUGCAGCUGGUGCAAGGUGGGGGGGGGGGGUCCAACUCACUUUUUUCCUUUGUGAAAAGUUAUUCAAGCACUGUUUAUUAAAUAAUCCAUUCUCCGCUCCGCCCCCCCCCCCCCCACCCGACUGGUCUGCACUGACCUCCUUUUAAAAAUUAAGUUCCCGUACUAAGUGGGUCAGUUUCUGAGCUGUUCAACCUUGUCUGUUCCUCCACUUGUAAUCUCUGUACCAAUCCCGCAUUGUUUUAAUGACUACAUUUGAUGUAAGUUUUUUGUUGUUGUUUCUUCAGAUGUCUGGGUAAAUGGCUUCUGGUUUUGUUUUUCAUUUUAGAGUAAGCUUUUAAAUCUGGUAGUGCUAGUUCCCUUCACACUUCAUUGUUUUUUAGUAAUGUUUUGAAUGUCCUUGGCCCUUUGCUCUUGCAUUCACAUUAUGGGAUCAGCUUGUCAAGUACCACAGUGAAAACCAUUGGGAUUUUUUGUUGGGAUUGCAUUAAUUUACUAAUCAAUUUGAACAAAGAGCUGCGACCUACAUGAUCUUCUUAUCCAUAUCUCCCAUUUAUUUAGAUCAAUCAAGGUGUUGGGGGUUUUUUCCAUCAUCGUUUUCUCAUUAAAAGGCUUAUAUAGCUCUUAAGAUUUAUUCUUCUAUACUUUAUACUGUUUUGUUCCUACUGUAAAUUUUCUUAAUUAAAAUUAAAAUCUUAAGACGUUAUAGAUUGUUGCUUGAUGCAUGGAAAUGUAAUUGACAUUCACAUGUUGAUUUUGUUCCAGUGAACCUGAUGAACUCUUAAGUCUUCUCAUCUGCCUUGCAGACUCUUUGGAUUUUCACAAUCUGAUCAUAUGUUAAUCUGUUAACAGAUGAGUUACACUGAUUGAUCUUCUAAUAUUAACCAACUUGCUGCCUCAGGUAAAUCCAUUGUGGUCAUCAUUUGUUAUACUUUAAAUACAAUGUUAGAUUUAAUUUGCAAAAAAUGCUUAUUGUCUUAUUGGAAGGUGCAAGGUGAUUUUAGAUAUCUCCAUCAGGUCUAAUUUAUUAGCUGUGCUAUUUAAAUCUUCUAUGCCCUUCAUCAUUAUGAUUUUUGUCUUCUUCAUGAUCUAUUAACUCAUGAGGGAGGUAUGUUUAAAACACCUAUUAUAUUGGUAGAUUAAUGUAUUUCUCUUUGUACUUAUGGCCAUUUUUAAAAAUACAUAUUUUGAGGUAUAUUAUUAGUCACUUAGGGGCGUAACUGAAUUUAAAACUGUUAUAUCCUUCUGGCCAAUUAAGCCCAUUGCACUAUGCAGAGGCUCUCCAUCAUGAGUAAUUUGGGGAGGGAAAUGGGCCUCCCCAAUGGGGACACUGAAGUUCAGAAAAAUAACCUUACCCAAGAACACACAACUCCAUUAAGCUGAGACAAACAUUUGCUCUCAGAUUACAUGUAGGAUAGUCCUUCUACCAAAACACGUUCUUUGAAAUGCAAAAUGUUCUGGAAUUCUAGAUUGUUAAAGACACAUGCCAAGAGAGGAAAUAAACACACAUAGGCACACAUAAAGAACUGACUCUAGUAGAAAAGUUUUAUACUCCGUAAAAAACAAUAUCUGCUAUAAGAGAGGGGAGAGGAUUUAAACAACUCCCUACCUGGCUGGGGAAAAAAAAAGAAAAAGCUGAAGAAGGCAAGGGUCAGGUGACUUAAAUGCAGAGAAAAAGAAAAGACAGUCACAGAACCCCGCUGGGUAUGGUAAUCUAAGAGUGGGUGUCACUACAACACAGCUUGGGUUUUAAACAAGUGGAGGACGAAAGUUGAAAACCGGCAUUCUGAGCACACUGUUAGGAAGUACACUUGUAUAGAGAAAGUGAGAGGAACUAAAACUGGCAAGAGGGAGCACAACACCCUAGGGGAUAAUGCUAAUACCACAGCAAGAAAACACAGGGGGGUUAUUUUUUUAAAGCACGGUGUCAUCAGUGCAAACAACCACAAGUCAAAAGUUCUGAUUAAAGGUCUACAAUGUGCCAGUGUUUAAAGAAGAAAAGGACACAUAUAUGUACAUAGGUAUAGAUACUACAUAUGUAUGCAGACUAUGUACUAAAUGUAUAUAAAUACACACACCCCGUUUCUUUUAUCGCUGGUACAGAGGUCAAGAUGGACACUCACCAUGCCACUGAUUAUCCACGACAGAACAGACAUGUGCUGAGUGUGCUUAUCGUUUAAGAGGGAAUUGUGAAUACACCAUAAGCAAAAUCCUAUGUUCUGUGCCAUAACAAAGUUCCAAUGAACCAAGUAUCAACAUAACAAGCCAAGGACAUCUGUACAAGAUUUAUUUCAUUAACCACAAUGUUUUAGAGUGACGGUUAUACACCCUAAUACAGAAGGAGUGAUUCCAAAUCCAUCCAGAGUUAAAGGUCAGAGCCAAAGUCAGUGGCUUUAAUCCCCAAUCAAAAAGAGUUUCAUUCACAAUUUUGUUAUUCUUAGAUUAACAGAAGAACUGAUGUACAGAACACCCUGUUCUAAGCUCCGCCAUGCUUUCCAACAAAGAAGCACCACCAGGGAUUAGACUUCAUUGCUUCCUCCUUGCUCUGGCUGUGCAGGUGGCUGGCAAGAGCCUCUUGUCUGUCUUUGACUCCCAUUUAUUCACAAACAUUCCUGUUUCCAGCCACAGUUCCCCACAACGUCACAUCUGAAUUAAUUUCUCCUGAAUUGCAUGGCUGUAAUAUUGACAAACAGGGCUAAUGAGAGCAAUUAAAUUGCCAUCUGUUUAACAAAACAUACCCUUCUAAGAGAAUAUCCACAGUCCUAUUGCAUUUAGUACAUCGUCACCACAUUGAAAUGACAUGUUAAAAUCAAUACAAAAAAUUUUUUUUCAAACCACAAAAUUUACCCCAGAGCCACUCUAUAAAUUUCCUAGAAUUAUAAACCAUUAACAUUUUUCUAAACAAUGCAAUCCAACCAGAAAUGAAGAUAAAUUUCCCACCAGCAGGGGUACAGUAUGUACUGAGGUCAAGAAUGUACCUCUGAUGAGGAUUCUAAUUCUCCCACAGCCACACCACCACCGUCAGCAGAAUCAGUGUAUGGACUUGUGCCACUCGGCUCUGGAAAGAAGUUCAAAAUAGGGUCCUGGCCAGGGGAGGAGGGAAAGCGUCAGUGACUUAGUUAAUCACCAGUGGGGACAAAACAGGAAUCACUACCCUUGAAAAAGAACAGGGGUCCUUUCAUCGAUUCUGGUGGCCAGAAACUGGGGCAAAUUGCAACAAGGUAAUGAAAGUAACAAGAAAGCCAUUUCUCCAAGAACUCCUAUAACUCCUGUCUUAACUUCUGAUAAACAUGAACUUCAUCUUAGGCAAGCUUAUUGAAAACUGCAAUCACAACUGAAAAGGUCCUAUAAACCUAUGCUAGUCAAGGGAUUCACAUUCUGAUCUUAAAUUUUAAAGUCCUUAAGAGGCCUAGACCCGGGGUAAAGUAAACAUAAUACUCUGAAGCGCAAUGAGACACCAUAAAAAAAUCAACUCAAAACAUCCAAACUGACUGGAUACCUAAUGCAGCUUUUUAAAAUUUUUUUACUAUCUCAGAUUAGUGUCUAUUCAUAAAACAAGGUUCAGUUAUUUUAAUAAUAACUGCUUACUAAACAACUGAAUUGUAGCUCAAGGGCAAUGCCUCUGUAAUUACCGUGGAAAAUAUUAACUGCCCUAAAACAGAGAAAACAUAGACGAAAAUAUAACUAGUCUCGAUAAGAAAAGAAGAUAAAAUCUGGAAGGGCUACUCUGGAGAUUAAACAGGCUUAUUUAAAUACUAUGAUACAAGUGCCCCUGCUCACUUUAUAACUGCAGAAACCGAUCGUGUUUACUAGAUCACCAUUACCUUUGCUAGAACGGGUGCACAGACCACCACUCUGAAGUUCUCCUUUUGUGCUGAAAAACUUUCAAAUCCCUUGUUCGGUCAGUACAGAAUAUUGCGAGGCGAUGCAUGUGCAAACUCUUCCUGAGGAAUUCUUCACGUGUGCAAAUCUGCAACCUGACAGAAAGCGUGGCAUUUAUAGCGGGGGAAGUGGCAGCUUUACGGGGCUGGCGCACUCGAGACGCACACGCAGCACGAACGGCCACGGGCACCUGUUCCCCUGCGAUCUCACUCACAGGUCAGUGUUCACCCCACGCCUCAAAGAAAGGGAGAGAGGAACUGCCUCAAAUUUGUAAAAGGGACACGGAAAAAAAAAGUGACUUUCCCACAAACCUGACCAAUGCCCAACUCCUGCCUCCAGGUUUGCGUUUCUUCUAACUCUACCUAAGAACUGUUCAGAGGCGCUAUACCAGGUUUUGCUUUCUGCUCCACAGAAAACAAGUAGAUCCUGUCGGGUUAGGGUGCAGCUGUGACAACGGGGAACAGGAGAUGACACUGUUACUGAAGCAUGAAGCCAACUCUGAAAGUAAGUACCGUCUCUCAAUUACAAUUACCAAUGACUUGGACAUGGCAUUACUUUGAGGUGACUGAACUGCUUUCUUUUGGAGAGCCUGGUUUCAGGCUGCACAUGCUUGGCGGUCAGGCUUGCCGAAGCAACUACGUGCCAAUUAACAAGACAAUCGGUGGACAGUUUUCUGUCCUCAAUGAUUUGGGCCCCACAAAAACCAGGAUUCAACUGGGGUGGAGAAACUAGAUACUGUACUGGCAAAGAAGAAUACAAGUAAACAUGAGAAGAAAACACUUUCUGGUAAACGGUGCUUUGUCAAUACAAAACGGAGGGCAACUCUGAUUUCCCCUCGUGUUGCAAACUAAGAAUUCUGGUAGGAAACCCAAUUAAAGAAGCAAGGUCAAUUUCUACUCAAAAACGAAGAAAUAGGCUUUCCAUACUGCAAUGUACCUCAAGGGGCCAACAGGUAACAACCACGUCACAUGCACUAGGAGAACGUGUAUCUUCUUUCUAUAGGGCCUUCCACUCAUGGCCUCGCAGUACCACGCCCUGGCCCAUAGCUAGCUGCAGUCACUGUGCAAAUAUUUAGAGAAGCUGAAUUUUGCAAACUUUGUCCACUUUUUGUUAACACAUAUAUAAUAAGAAGACAACAUAAAAUGUUUCUCCAUUAACUUAAUAAUGCAAAAGCAUCCAAAGAUUUUAACACCAAUUCACAUCAUAAUACAAUGCUUUUGUAGAGAAGUUCCCCUGUUAGCCAAAGAAACACUCUCCCAGAAAAAGCAUUUGGGUACAUUAUUAGGAUAAUGAAGAAUUCAUCCCACAUUUUAAAGAAGCAUCCCAAUUUUAUUCCUUUCAGAAAUAUUCCUGAAACCACUCAGGGGAGAUUUUAGUUGCAGGUGUUAUUUAUAAGCCUGCAGCAAGCGUUCCAUUGAGAAAGUAAACUUUGGACUUGAUGAUAGAGUGGAGUUCUUCCCCGAUACCAGAAUGCUACUGGGGUAGCGAAUCAAACUGUAUAGGGCACAGUGAGAACCUGUAUAUAUUCUUCCAGUAAUUCGGUGUGUAUCAAUACAACCCAAGAUGCUCACAGGGUUAAAAAUGAGUCCAAUUCAAAGUCCUCCACAAAAUCCAGCUCUGGUUGAGAAGUACUUAAAA